CGGACGGGUGAGUAACACGUGGAUAACCUACCUAUAAGACUGGGAUAACUUCGGGAAACCGGAGCUAAUACCGGAUAAUAUAUUGAACCGCAUGGUUCAAUAGUGAAAGACGGUUUUGCUGUCACUUAUAGAUGGAUCCGCGCCGCAUUAGCUAGUUGGUAGGUAACGGCUUACCAAGGCAACGAUGCGUAGCCGACCUGAGAGGGUGAUCGGCCACACUGGAACUGAGACACGGUCCAG
rnacentral:rRNA from 1 species